AUAUCAACAUUUCUCUCACUGCCGUCUCUUUCUAAACCCUAGAAAUUGGCAGUAUCUCUUCACUCUACGUUGUCUCUCUCAAAAAUAUAUAAUCAAACCAAUACCUUACAGCCCCUCUGUCUAAACCCUAGUUCACAAUCUCAGACAAAAAAUACCACAACUCGACGAUUUGAAGGCAACAGCGACUUGGUGGUGACGACGAUGACGACUUGGUAGUGACGGCGACGGCGAGUUAGAGAUCCAAAAGUGACUAGAAGUAAGUUGGAACUGACUCUUGGAGCAGACAUGAUGUUGAGGGAGGCAGCAUAUACUUUCAUGUCCCAUUCUUCUCUUAUACAGAACUUGAAGAAACCACGGAUGUUUUAGUUCCUCUAGAGUACUUGGAGAUGGGGGUUUUGGAACUGUUUACUAUGGAAAACUUAAGGAUAGAAGAGAAGCUGCUGUACAGCGCCUCUACGAGCAUAACUGCAAGCAAAUGGAGCAGUUUGUAAAUGAAAUUGAGAUCCUUACCAGACUGAGGCACAUUAAUCUUGUCACUCUCUAUGGCUGCACUUCAAGGUGCAACCAUGACUACUCCUUGUCUACGAAUACAUUCCGAACGGAACUCUUGCUGAUCACCUCCAGGUGACAGAGUGAAGGAUCGAUCACUCACGUGGCCAGUCUGCAUGAACAUUGCCAUAGAAACUGCUGGUGCAUUGGCAUACUUGCGUGCUUCUGACGUAAUACAUUGUGAUAUCAAGACUAACAACAUACUCCUUGAUCACAACUUUAGUGUUAAAGUUGCAGAUUUUGGGAUUUCAAGGCUCUUCCCUAAUUAUGUCUCACAACAUACUCCUAGUUCUUGUUCUUGUUUUUGGUUGUGACAUUUAGAUGUUUAAUCUAUUUGAUUUGAUAUUUGUUUUGGAUGUUUUAAAGUGGUUGUAUUUAUAAAUUUUUGUCUGUGUUUGAUCCUAUUAUUAAAAAUACAUUAGUUAUGUUG